UGUCACGUUUGGUCACGUGCCGGUGACACAGGUCUAUCUCUGGUGAAAACUGAAAAGAUUCAUAGGUGAAACGCUACAAAGUUUCUCUCUCCUCUAUUAAUAUCAUAAAUGUAUGGGAAAUAAACACCUGGUGAUCGUGUUAACAGUGCACGAUAUCCUAGUCUGAUUCCCGACUGCUGAAUCGACAAUGAACUUUGAAUUAUGCAGAUGACUUCGGGCCAGAGCAGACGGAGAAAUCCUUCUCUGGAGUCACAAGUCGGUAAGGUUAAUUGUCAUCUCCUUGGUGAAACUUCUCAGUUCCAGAACUUUGUCAUCCAGCAACGUGAAACCUGAAGUGCACAUCCAAGUUGCUGCCCAUCGUUAACAAUGUUCUGCUAGACUGAAUCCAUGGACUGGGAAUCGAUAUCUCAAACACCAACCAAGGUACUACAAACUUCCAGACUAUGUAUCAGCUGUUUGAUGGACUCCGCUGAUUCCUGUUCAGCAUCCAGCCCAGAGUCACCAAAAUAGAACGCUAAGUAACCUUUAUCGUAUAAUGAGCAGCUCAAUCUCAAAUCUAAAUGUAUUAGCUCACGUCGUGCAAUCUAAAAAAAAACUACUGGGGCAUGAACAAUCAAAACUAACUUCCUGGCAAUCCUUCGGGCCAAAUCACGGGAAACUGCACGACUAAAAUAUUUGGUCACCUCCAUGGGUAAAACUCCUCUAAUCCAAGGUCUUCGUCAUCCAGAUCUGUAAUCUAAAACUCCUAGAGUUGCAGCCCAUCACUAACACUACCCUAUUUCUGAUAGACUGAAUGCAAUGGCUUCACAGAGAGCUUCCAGAGGAAUCUAAUCAGAACCAACACCCAAGAUAUUAGCCUGCAGACUUAUCAGCUGCUUGAUUGACCGCGUUUUCUGUUUCAGCAUCCAACAUGGAAUAAGAGAAACGAGAGCGUUUUCCAACAUCGUAACAAACAAUCAAAUGUACUGUCGCACAGCUAAUGCCAUCUGUCACACUACUGUUAAGACAAGAACAGCACAAAAAUACUUCCCGGCAGGCCUCCAGGAAAAUCACCCGAAACUGCAACGGCUAAAGGUAAAAAACUUUCGACUUUCAUUCCGUAGUUACUCUUUUAUGGUAGGAGUGAGUUUGAACAACAUCACAAUUGGAAACGUGUGGUUUGGUACAUGUUUAAUCAAAUAUGUGCGAGGCAGGGCUUGUUGCACUUGGCACAAUGUGUGAGGUGAAACUCAUUAGAGUGGAUAUUAAAUUAAUGCCUAGAUUAACAGCUACUACAACAACAACUACAAAAUCCUUGAUAAUAUUAAAGCGUUACUAUGUCGAUUGGUUGUGGAUAUCAACUGUAAUGAUGUUGGUUGUUGGUUCCGGUUGCUUGAUUUUGGCUGUUUGAUUGAAUUCGUUAUUUUCGUGAAAAUUCUUUUCCACCUCAGCUGUGGCUGCGGACUUAUUUUGAGAAUCGAAU